rnacentral:miRNA from 1 species
AUUGACUUCAGUGGGGUUUGA